ACUUUACUACUAGACUGCAAUUAGCAUUUCUUUUUCUUCCCCACAUUUCUUUUUUCUCUUUUUUUUUCUCCUUUCCUGGUUUUGUUAUUUUCUGCUUUUAAUUAUUUUUAUUCCAGCCUCACCUCUAAGUUCCCAAAAAACACCAACCCUUGUUCUCUUCAAUAAAAAUUUUCCAGCUCUCACCACCCUGAGUCUCCCCAGCUCACUCUGUCACACACUGAAGAUGCAUUCCCUUGUCCAUUUAAGCACAAUAUAUUCUAAUUUAUUUUACUAUUUUAUAGUAUUGUUAGUUCUUAGUUUCUUUUAUUUAUUGGUUAUUUUAUUUACUUACAUUUCAAAUAUUAUCCCCAUUACCGGUUUAUCCUCCGCAAACCUCUUAGUUCUUAGUUUCUUAGAGCAUUUUUUCCAGCUUUAUCCCUGAAAAUUAAAAAAAAAAAUGCUUCUUUCAUCUAUUUCUAUAAUAGAAUAUUACCAGCUGCUUAUUCUUCCCUUGCUAUAAUUUUAAUAACAUGUUCUAAAUUUCUUUUCAGUCACACAUUGAACUUAUAAGAUCCCUCAGAGAUCUACAACAUACUAUCCUAGAAAUAUACUAAAAUUAGAUUUUUUUUUUGGUUAAAUCUUACAUUGGAUGCAUUCUGAUAAAACAUUUGAGUGAUAACACUACAGGUUUAGUUGAUGGUAAAUUUGAAGGUACAAAUAGCUUAGUAGGAAUAAUUUAACCAAUUCCUUUUGGUAGUCAAUUAUUUGGUAAAGGAGGUGAAUCCUUAGAAUAGCAUCCUUACCUUUUGUCUAUUAUGUUUUUGGAUAUGUAUCACGGUAUGGCUUGAUCAACACCAUUCCUAUUUAAAACCCCCAAAUCUGUCAUGGUCAUAC
rnacentral:lncRNA from 1 species